rnacentral:lncRNA from 15 species
ACAAUAACUCUUAGAUGACUCACUACUACUGUAAUUGGAUUACUUUUCCCAGUGAAAAGGUAAUGUAAUUUAAAUCUCUCUGGCUCACAAAUAAUAAUCUCCGGAUAGAAGAAUGACAGAAUAUGUGUUGGUACCGACACAUAAGCAUCCUUCUUUCAGGGAAAUUAAGAAGUAUUCACUCUACGAUUCUGUGUUUUAUUUACCACAUUGUUCAGCCCUACACAUGAAGUCUUCUCUCAAUUUUGACAUACAUGGAUUUACUUUAUUUUGAUUGGAUAUAACACAUAUUGUUUGUAUUCCAGUAACAGCAAUUAAAAGGAAAUACUAAUGUAACUUUUGUUUCCCUCUUUGCAGAGACCCAAGAAGAACAAAUACCGCAGAGCUCAGGAGGAAAUGCCAGUGCUGCAGUAGGAAAUAAGGAAAUAUUUCCAGGAUCGGGUGUAUUCGUGACCAGUGAUGUGUGGGAUAAAGCCAACGAGGCUGACACCGCGUCAGAUAUGACCAGGAUUCUGUUGAUGGAUGUGUUCGACAGAGAAACACUGAUGCAAAGCAACUUGAGGGGAGGGAAAUCUAAAAUUGGAGACAUGCCGCAGAAGAAAGCCCUUGAUCAGAGAAAAGUGGAUGCCAUUAUCGAUGCUGUUCACGAGAAGUUCCCGGAGAAGACCAGGGGUGAAAUUGGAGCUGCCAUGACUGAUAAAAUACAGAGCCUCAAGACUCCAAUAAAAAAAGAAAGAGGCAAUAAUUAGAGUCCAAGCAGAUUGUGAGUUUCUUAUUGAACUCUUCAUCAUCACUAUAUCCUGAUGCUCUGCUGACAAAUACAAAUCUACAAUAAAAACAUGUUUUACAUGACCUCUGUGCUCCAUUGUUAUAUCUUUUGUAAUCUGGAAUGUAAUUUAUGUCCCCGACUAGAAGACGUCACACAUUUAAAAUAUUAAUGUGAAGAUUUAAACCUCUAUAUAUUAACAGCAGCCUGUUAAACACCCACCGGCUCCUGUUUCUGCCCACUGUGAACUCUUUUGGUUCAAACCAACCUGAUAAACAACAACAACAAAAAAAUGACAAAAUAUCUAUAUUAAAAUAGUUUUUAUCUUUAAUUUGACAUAAAAUCUUAUUUUGUUGUCUCUUUCAUGUUUAAUUAAAGAUAUUUACACUGUAAAACCAAUGCAAUGAUCUAUAAAUACAGGUGAACUCUGCUAUAACAGAAACGACCAGAGCCUCUGUGUGGAGGACUGCGAAGUAGUCCAGUUUCUCGGAGGAUAUCAAUGCAAUGGAGGUGGUUGUUGAGUGAGUGGAGGUUGGCGGUGGAGUAGAGCGGUGGCGUGAUCCAGGUGUGGAGCGCCAGCACAGAGCUAGUGCUAGCUUGUACCCAGAAGUCGAGUGUUUGUGGAUGAAGAGAUGACGUGUACACCAGGAGUAUCCACGGGAUAAUCCACAGCAUAACAGCAGCAAAUAGCCAAUAAUCCGAUGAGGAGGAGAGGGCCCGCCGACGGGGGGGACUUCACAUGUAAGAAGCAUAUAGAUAGCAGUGAAUUAGUUUGCUCUCCAACUUCAGAAGACUGCCGAACCAGACAAUCUGGUGUGGUGAGGCGUAGGUCAAAAGACAAAGACUUCAUCGUAGACUAUUGUCAGAGAUGGAGCAGCAGCCAAGGUACGCGAGCAUCCGCCGUCCAGCCUGUUGAAACGUGCCAACUAAACAACUAAUAAUUUUUUACUGUUAGUGUCACUAAUUUUACAUAAUUUUAGAAAUGUAACAGUAUUAAACUUGAAUUUAACAGUUUAAUACAUGAAAUAAAUAAUAUAUAUAGAUUAGAUCUUUUUAUGUUAAUAACCAUGUUAAUAAGAAAUUACAGAUUUUUUCAAUUCAUUAUAAUUCAGUAUGUUUUAAACUGUAUUAAUAUUUCCAUGUAUUUAAAAUAAAUGUGAAAAAACCUGUUAACCUGCAGAUUAUUUUAUAGUUUAGACAUUCAAACAACUUAUUACAACUU